UCAUGUAAAAAAUAAUGUUUAUAUAUUAUGAUAUCAAAUUGAUUGUUUUUAUUAACAAUACGGGCU
rnacentral:tRNA from 1 species